GACGAACCGUACGAACGUUAUUCGGAAUCACUGGGCUUAAAGGGUGCGUAGGCUGCGCAGCAAGUUGGGUGUGAAAUCCCUCGGCUUAACCGAGGAACUGCGCCCAAAACUGCUGUGCUCGAGGGAGAUAGAGGUGAGCGGAACUUAGGGUGGAGCGGUGAAAUGCGUUGAUAUCCUAAGGAACACCGGUGGCGAAAGCGGCUCACUGGAUCUCUUCUGACGCUGAGGCACGAAAGCUAGGGUAGCGAACGGG
rnacentral:rRNA from 1 species